UACCUCGACAUAGCGCCAUUCACUCCACAAAAGCCCGACAUAUAUAGCGCCUCCAAACCGCGACUCUCUCCAACUCACUCUGACUCACUCCAUAGAUACCCCGGCCGACUCACUCCACAGCCCUAAACCCUAAAGCCACCGCCUCUGAAGGCCCGACUCUCUGGUGCGAAGCUUUCGAAGCCCUAAGUCGGAGAUUUGUCUUCGAAUCUGCCUUUCAGGUGUUGAUUUCGGGUUCUUCACAAAGCACUCUUUUGCUCUGGGGUUUUGACUAACUGGAGAUUCUGAUAAUUGUAAGUCGGAGAUUUUUCUUCGAAUCUGGUGUUGAUUUCGGAUUCUUCACAAAGCACUCUUUUGAUUUGGGGUUUUGACGAACUGGAGAUUCUGAUAAAGGUGCAGCUAAUGAAAGAAUAGAUAAUGUGUUAGUCAAUCUUACUGAUUAGCGAGGGAUGGUUUUACUUUUUAAACCCCUCUCAUUUACAUCUGAUAAAAUCAGAUAUGCUGUUGACAUGCCACAGAUCCUGCUACUACUGCUGAUUCUCAGGAAAACAAGGAAGCAGCUGAUGAACGUUCUGUUUUCGUUGGCAAUAAAAUAAGACAAAGGAUAAGCAAAGAAGUAAACAUCGCUGCUUGGGUGAUAUUGAUUGGAAAUUGAAGUUGAAAGUUGAUAUUGAUUGGACACUAACUCUUAAGACGUUGCUGGAAACUCAAAAGUGGGGUAGGAGAGCCAACCAUACUUAUGGUCAAGCGGAACUUGAUGAAGUGCGUAAUGAGAUUGCAAAUUAUGUGAUGAAGAACCUGCUGAAGCUGUGAAGUGUUGGUCUUUUUUGGGUACAGUAAUGUAAGAUCCCAAGUGCAUUAGGCUAGAUAUUGGUCCUUUUUGGGUUGGCCUGAAUUGCAUGUCUUCUAUAGAUGAGAUUAUGUAGGACGAGACUAUUUUAGCCACAUUUGUGGAUGUAUUUUGCUAUUGGAGAUCCGUAAACGUGAUCAUUUCCGUUUUGUGGAUAAAAUUACCAUUAUCGGAUCCAUUUGUGGGAUUAUAAUAGCUAUUUAUUAUGACAGGA